GAGCACGCCGCGUGAGGGACGAAGGCCUCUGGGCUGUAAACCUCUUUUCUCAAGGAAGAAGGGAUGACGGUACUUGAGGAAUAAGCCACGGCUAAUUCCGUGCCAGCAGCCGCGGUAAUACGGGAGUGGCAAGCGUUAUCCGGAAUUAUUGGGCGUAAAGCGUCCGCAGGCGGCCUUGAAAGUCUGUUGUUAAAGCGUGGAGCUCAACUCCAUUUAAGCAAUGGAAACUACAAGGCUAGAGUGUGGUAGGGGCAGAGGGAAUUCCCGGUGUAGCGGUGAAAUGCGUAGAUAUCGGGAAGAACACCAGUGGCGAAGGCGCUCUGCUGGGCCAUAACUGACGCUCAUGGACGAAAGCCAGGGGAGCGAAAGGGAUUAGAUACCCCUGUAGUCCUGGCCGUAAACGAUGAACACUAGGUGUCGGGAGAAUUAACCCUUCCGGUGUCGUAGCCAACGCGUUAAGUGUUCCGCCUGGGGAGUACGCACGCAAGUGUGAAACUCAAAGGAAUUGACGGGGGCCCGCACAAGCGGUGGAGUAUGUGGUUUAAUUCGAUGCAACGCGAAGAACCUUACCAGGGUUUGACAUCCUGCGAAUCCCUUGGAAACGAGGGAGUGCCUUCGGGAACGCAGUGACAGGUGGUGCAUGGCUGUCGUCAGCUCGUGUCGUGAGAUGUUGGGUUAAGUCCCGCAACGAGCGCAACCCACGUCUUUAGUUGCCAGCAUUCAGUUGGGCACUCUAGAGAGACCGCCGGUGAUAAACCGGAGGAAGGUGUGGAUGACGUCAAGUCAUCAUGCCCCUUACAUCCUGGGCUACACACGUACUACAAUGCUACGGACAAAGGGCAGCAAACUCGCGAGAGCUAGCAAAUCCCAUAAACCGUGGCUCAGUUCAGAUCGUAGGCUGCAACUCGCCUACGUGAAGGAGGAAUCGCUAGUAAUCGCAGGUCAGCAUACUGCGGUGAAUACGUUCCCGGGCCUUGUACACACCGCCCGUCACACCAUGGAAGUUGGCCAUGCCCGAAGUCGUUACUCCAACCCGCAAGGGAGGAGGACGCCGAAGGUGGGGCUGAUGACUGGGGUGAAGUCGUAACAAGGUAGCCGUACCGGAAGGUG
rnacentral:rRNA from 1 species